GACAGAGGGUGCAAACGUUGUUCGGAAUUACUGGGCGUAAAGCGCGUGUAGGUGGCGAGGCAAGUCGGGUGUGAAAGCCCUGGGCUCAACCCAGGAAGUGCACUCGAUACUGCCUAGCUAGAGUCCCGGAGAGGUUAGUGGAACUCUCGGUGUAGAGGUGAAAUUCGUAGAUAUCGAGAAGAACACCGGUGGCGAAGGCGGCCAACUGGACGGUGACUGACGCUGAGACGCGAAAGCGUGGGGAGCAAACAGG
rnacentral:rRNA from 1 species